AAUGGCCGCAGUAAUUUGACUGUGCAAAGGUAGCAUAAUCAUUAGUUUUUUAAUUAAAAGCUUGUAUGAAAGGUUGGACGAAAUAAAAUCUGUCUCUAUUUAAUUUUUAGAAUUUAAUUUUUAAGUUAAAAAGCUUAAAUAUUAAUAAAAGACGAGAAGACCCUAUAGAGUUUUAUAAUUUUAUUUAUUUAAUUAAUUUAGAUUUAUUUAUUUUAUAUAAAUAUAAUUAUUUUAUUGGGGUAAUAGAAAGAUUAAAUUAAUUCUUUUUUAAAUUUAACAUUAAUAAAUGAAUUAAAUGAUCCAUUUUUAUUGAUUAUAAGAUUAAAUUACCUUAGGGAUAACAGCGUAAUUUUUUUAAAGAGUUCUUAUCGAUAAAAAAGUUUGCGACCUCGAUGUUGGAUUAAAGAUUAGUUUAGGUGUAGAAGUUUAAAUUUUUGGUCUGUUCGACCAUUAAAUCUUUACAUGAUCUGAGUUCAGACCGGUGUAAGCCAGGUCGGUUUCUAUCUA
rnacentral:misc_RNA from 1 species